CAUGAACAACCAGAAGAAUGAGAAGUUUUACUCAUUUAUAUAUGAUAUGUCAAAAUGCAUUCUACUGUCAUGUAAAUCUAAUAAGAACAAAUUAAAAAAAUACUACAUGGCUUCUCACACUAGGAUGUUCAUGAUGUUUCUUAUGCUUAAUACCCAACCUAAAACAUGAAAAACACUUAAUAAUAACUUUAGUUAUAAGAAAAAUAUUAUGUAAUCUUCUCUCAAAAGCAGAAAGAAAUAAGUGAAUAUAGAACAUUUAAGAGGAUGGAUGUUCAAAUUACAUUUUAAAUUUUUUCAUUAGUAAAUUGUAUUGGGGUUGACCUCAAAUUUUCUAAAACAAGAUAAAGGGAAGAUAGGUCAAGUUCCAGAAUGUUUUUUUGUACAACUUCUUCAUUUUCUCUCCCACACAUAAUGCAGUUUGAGUGAAAAUAUCAGGAUAAUCAAAUAAUAGGGGGAAGUGAUGCUUAUUCUUUUGUAUUUGCAAAGAUUUUUUAUAUUCUUUCAUAUUUACAAAGGUUGCUAGCUUUAUAAUAUUUUCACAAUAGAAAAAAAUUUUUAAUGUAGAAAAACAAAGAAGGAAGUUCUCAGAAAUCUUACCACCCAAAGAUAACCCAUGGUUUGUCAUGGUUUCUAUUGUUCUCUAAAUGCAUCUAUGUAUCCACAAUACAUGCCAUUCUAUGUAACAGGAUCAUGUCUACUUUUCAACUUGCUUUUCUUCUCAGGAAUCUCUUAUGAAGAGUUCCUAUUUCGGUGCUAUCCUUUUUGAUACCUGUAAUGUAGGUGCACUUGAUUUUAAAUGGGGAAGCCCAACACAAAAGGACACAGGUGUUCAUUUUUUUAAAGGAGGCUAAGAAGAUUAUGGAAGCCAAAGAAAGAUUGAAUAAUUAAGUCAAGGCAAGGGUGCAGAGGAACUCCAGGAAAAAACUAGAACUAGGGACUCAAUGACAACCUGAAAACUUCUCUUCCUCUAAUCUGUUUUCUUCCUUGGGUUCACCUUUAUGUUCUUUAAUUGUGACAUGGAUUUCUCCACACGGGAGGAAAUGUUGCUCUCACUGUACCUACUAUAAUUUGGGAGUACAAUGUUCACAGCCUCAGGGAAAGGGCUCAUUACUGAAUUUCCACUAAUGUCCUAAUUAUUUGUUAGAAUAUGACAAUUACCAUAGAAGCCAUGUUACUGAGCAAAGGCUUUUCCUAUGAGAGUAGAUGUACUGGGCGGACAAAAUGAUAACAAUAUCCUGAUAAUGGGUAUAUGAAAGCUUGUGGUUUUUAUUACUGUUUCUUACUAUUAAUGCACAAUAAAUAGUUUAAGCCUAAUAUGAACAUUCUAACUUUUAACAGCUAUCUACCUGGUAAUACCAUGAACCAUUCCUGAAUGUUGGGAUCAUUCAUUUAAUUUAUUGGCUCAGUAAAUGUUUUUCAGUAUCUACUAUGUGCCAGGUUCUAUUCUAGCUACUAUGAAUAUAGCAGUGAACAAAACAGAGAAAUCCCUCUGUUUGCAAAACUUACAUUCUACUAAGGUAAAAAAAAAA
rnacentral:lncRNA from 1 species